rnacentral:rRNA from 1 species
CCUACGGGAGGCAGCAGUGGGGAAUCUUGCGCAAUGGGCGAAAGCCUGACGCAGCCAUGCCGCGUGAAUGAUGAAGGUCUUAGGAUUGUAAAAUUCUUUCACCGGGGACGAUAAUGACGGUACCCGGAGAAGAAGCCCCGGCUAACUUCGUGCCAGCAGCCGCGGUAAUACGAAGGGGGCUAGCGUUGCUCGGAAUUACUGGGCGUAAAGGGAGCGUAGGCGGAUAGUUUAGUCAGAGGUGAAAGCCCAGGGCUCAACCUUGGAAUUGCCUUUGAUACUGGCUAUCUUGAGUAUGGGAGAGGUAUGCGGAACUCCGAGUGUAGAGGUGAAAUUCGUAGAUAUUCGGAAGAACACCAGUGGCGAAGGCGGCAUACUGGCCCAUUACUGACGCUGAGGCUCGAAAGCGUGGGGAGCAAACAGGAUUAGAUACCCUGGUAGUCCACGCUGUAAACGAUGAGUGCUAGUUGUCGGCAUGCAUGCAUGUCGGUGACGCAGCUACGCAUAAGACACUCCGCCGUCGGGAGGUACGGUCGCGAAGAAGUAAACGUACAAGUAGAAGUUAGACGGCGUGAGACGUAGCCGAACGGACGACGACGAGGGAGGAGGG